UACGUAGGGUGCAAGCGUUAAUCGGAAUUACUGGGCGUAAAGCGUGCGCAGGCGGUGAUGUAAGACAGUUGUGAAAUCCCCGGGCUCAACCUGGGAACUGCAUCUGUGACUGCAUUGCUGGAGUGUGGCAGAGGGGGGUGGAAUUCCGCGUGUAGCAGUGAAAUGCGUAGAGAUGCGGAGGAACACCGAUGGCGAAGGCAGCCCCCCUGGGUCAAGAUUGACGCUCAUGCACGAAAGCGUGGGGAGCAAACAGG
rnacentral:rRNA from 1 species